GACGAACGCUGGCGGCGCGCCUAACACAUGCAAGUCGAACGAGCGAGAGAGAGCUUGCUUUCUCGAGCGAGUGGCGAACGGGUGAGUAACGCGUGAGGAACCUGCCUCGAAGAGGGGGACAACAGUUGGAAACGACUGCUAAUACCGCAUAAGCCCACGGUGCCGCAUGGCACAGAGGGAAAAGGAGCAAUCCGCUUUGAGAUGGCCUCGCGUCCGAUUAGCUAGUUGGUGAGGUAAUGGCCCACCAAGGCGACGAUCGGUAGCCGGACUGAGAGGUUGAACGGCCACAUUGGGACUGAGACACGGCCCAGACUCCUACGGGAGGCAGCAGUGGGGAAUAUUGCACAAUGGGGGAAACCCUGAUGCAGCGACGCCGCGUGGAGGAAGAAGGUCUUCGGAUUGUAAACUCCUGUUGUUGGGGAAGAUAAUGACGGUACC
rnacentral:rRNA from 1 species